rnacentral:piRNA from 1 species
CGUGGAGAGGAACAAAUCUGAGU